rnacentral:rRNA from 1 species
AGAGUUUGAUCCUGGCUCAGAAUGAACGCUGGCGGCGCGCUUAAUACAUGCAAGUCGUGCGGUAAGGCCUCUUCGGAGGUACACGAGCGGCAUACGGGUGAGUAACACGUGGGUAAUCUGCCUUUGUCUCGGGGAUAACCAGGGGAAACUCUGGCUAAUACCCGAUGAUGUCACGAAACUCAGUUGUUUUGUGACCAAAGCUCCGGCGGACAAAGAUGAGCCCGCGGCCCAUUAGCUAGUUGGCGGGGUAACGGCCCACCAAGGCAACGAUGGGUAGCCGGCCUGAGAGGGUGAUCGGCCACACUGGAACUGAGACACGGUCCAGACUCCUACGGGAGGCAGCAGUAGGGAAUAUUGGGCAAUGGGCGCAAGCCUGACCCAGCGACGCCGUGUGAGUGGUGAAGCCCUUCGGGGUGUAAAGCUCUGUAAGCAGGGACGAAGUUCUGACGGUACCUGCAAAGUAAGCCCCGCUAACUCCGUGCCAGCAGCCGCGGUAAUACGGAGGGGGCAAGCGUUAUUCGGAAUUACUGGGCGUAAAGAGCGCGUAGGCGGCUUGUUAAGUCGUGGGUUUAAUUUCAGGGCUCAACCCUGAAGCUGCCUGCGAUACUGGCAAGCUAGAGUACUAGAGAGGGAAGCGGAAUUCCUAGUGUAGCGGUGAAAUGCGUAGAUAUUAGGAGGAACACCAGUGGCGAAGGCGGCUUCCUGGAUAGUUACUGACGCUGAGGCGCGAAAGCCAGGGGAGCGAACGGGAUUAGAUACCCCGGUAGUCCUGGCCGUAAACGAUGGGUACUAGGUGUAGUGGGCAUCGACCCCCACUGUGCCGUAGCUAACGCAUUAAGUACCCCGCCUGGGGAGUACGUUCGCAAGAAUGAAACUCAAAGGAAUUGACGGGGGCCCGCACAAGCGGUGGAGCAUGUGGUUUAAUUCGAUGCAACGCGAAGAACCUUACCGGGGUUUGACAUCCCGCGGACAGUUUCCAGAGAUGGGAGCCUCUCCGCAAGGAGCCGCGGUGACAGGUGCUGCAUGGCUGUCGUCAGCUCGUGCCGUGAGAUGUUGGGUUAAGUCCCGCAACGAGCGCAACCCUUAUCCUUAGUUGCCAGCGGGUAAUGCCGGGAACUCUAAGGAGACUGCCGUUGAUAAAACGGAGGAAGGUGGGGAUGACGUCAAGUCAUCAUGGCCCUUAUACCCCGGGCUACACACGUGCUACAAUGGCCGGUACAAAGAGUCGCGAGACCGCAAGGUGGAGCUAAUCUCAAAAAGCCGGCCUCAGUGCGAAUUGGAGUCUGCAACUCGACUCCAUGAAGGCGGAAUCGCUAGUAAUCGCGGAUCAGCACGCCGCGGUGAAUACGUUCCCGGGCCUUGUACACACCGCCCGUCACACCACGAAAGUUGGCUGCACUAGAAGUCGUCGCGCUAACCGCAAGGAGGCAGGCGCCGAAGGUGUGGUCAGUGAUUGGGGUGAAGUCGUAACAAGGUA